rfam:Cavia porcellus supercont2_48 genomic scaffold, whole genome shotgun sequence.
GGGGAUUUAGCUCAGCGGCAUAAGCACCUGCCUUACAAGUAGGUGGUCAUGAGUUUGAUUCCCCC